GAUCCUCUUUCAACUCAAGAGCUCAGUCCCGUGUCUCUCAUGGAGGCGUCUCUAACCAGGGUAGGAAAACAAUAGUUCUGAAUAUCGGUAAUUGGUGUUUGGAGACCAUUGUUUUGCAUUCAACAGGCAGGAAAAUAUGAGCAAGACAACAGGAAACGUAAGGUGCAUGAUCUGCCCUGAGAGGUCGGCACAUCCUGUGCUAUUGUCUCAUCUUAGAAACGAAGCGACACAUCCAAGGUCCUCAGGCAAAGAAUAACACUCUGGGCUGCACAUAAGCUAACAGAAGGAAAUAAAAUGUCAACCUUCAAACUCUAUGCUUCUCAAAGACUGUGUUUAAUUCAUCUCUGCCUAUUCAAGGGUUUACCUAGCUCCUGCAGGAAAUAUGCAUGGAGAACGGCAAAGAAGACGAUGGGAUGGAAAGUACUGGGCCCACACUGUGGUUAUCAGCUAUGGAUCACAGUGUUAUUUGGGUUUGAGCCCUACAUGUUGCCCCCUCCUCAAUGCUCAAUCAAGGAGCCCCACAAACGAUGUACCUGGUCCCAGGCACAGGUUACAGAUGACAACCAGAUGGGAUCAACCACAGGAACCAGGGUGAGGAGUUGAGAUCAAUGAAUGGUGUGAAGAAUCCCCUGGUUGAGCACUUGGUUUAAAGAUAAAGAUGUUCUCAGAAGAGAUCACAGACAGAGAUGUAUCCUCAGUGUUCAGCACAGUUCAUAUGAAAGCGGAUUCCAGCAAAGGGACCAAAGAAUGUGUCCAGGGCUUCGGACAAAGUCUGUUCUGUAUGAACCUUGCUACUGAAUCAGGCACAUGUCCUACCAUGAUCCGAGGAGGGUAAACUGCUGACCAUGCAGAUCUUCUGAGAGGCUACUCUUUAAAGACAGGCAUUUUACUUGCAGCAAAAU
rnacentral:sRNA from 1 species